rnacentral:tRNA from 1 species
GGGGACGUAGCUCAACUGGGAGAGCACCGGCUUUGCAAGCCGGGGGUUGCCGGUUCGACCCCGGUCGUCUCCA